GUGGGGAAUAUUGGACAAUGGGGGGAACCCUGAUCCAGCCAUGCCGCGUGUGUGAAGAAGGCCUUUUGGUUGUAAAGCACUUUAAGCGAGGAGGAGGCUACCGAGAUUAAUACUCUUGGAUAGUGGACGUUACUCGCAGAAUAAGCACCGGCUAACUCUGUGCCAGCAGCCGCGGUAAUACAGAGGGUGCAAGCGUUAAUCGGAUUUACUGGGCGUAAAGCGCGCGUAGGUGGCCAAUUAAGUCAAAUGUGAAAUCCCCGAGCGUAACUUGGGAAUUGCAUUCGAUACUGGUUUGCUAGAGUAUGGGAGAGGAUGGUAGAAUUCCAGGUGUAGCGGUGAAAUGCGUAGAGAUCUGGAGGAAUACCGAUGGCGAAGGCAGCCAUCUGGCCUAAUACUGACACUGAGGUGCGAAAGCAUGGGGAGCAAACAGGAUUAGAAACCCUGGUAGUCC
rnacentral:rRNA from 1 species